rnacentral:rRNA from 1 species
AUGUCUUUGGAGGUUCACGAUAGCGAGGUUGACAUUGUGAUUGCAGCACUACAGCCCAACCUGACCUCUUUCUUUCAGGCGUGGCAGCCAUUUUUCUCCCGGUUUGACAUCAUUGUUGUCAAAGAUCCAGAGUUGGCAGCAGAUCUUCAGAUCCCUUCAGGUUUUAAUGUGAAGGUUUACACAAAGUCUGACAUUGAUGGACUGCUUGGUGCCACAACCAUCAACUUCUCUGGCCAUUCAUGCCGUUACUUUGGGUACCUUGUCUCACGCAAGAAGUAUGUCAUCUCAAUUGACGACAACUGCCUCCCAGCAAAGGACCCUGCUGGGAUGACUGUGGAUGCUGUUACACAGCACAUGAUCAAUUUGAAGACACCUGCCACACCUUUCUUCUUCAACACACUGUAUGACCCAUACCGCAAGGGUGCUGACUUUGUCCGUGGAUACCCAUUCAGCCUGCGUGAGGGGGUUGAAUGCAUGCUCUCAUGUGGUCUCUGGCUGCACAAUGCGGACUAUGACCCAAUGACACAUGUCGUGAAGCGGAACCAACGCAACACAAACUAUGUGGAUGCUGUGAUGACAGUUCCACUCGGUGCGAUGUUCCCUGUGAGCGGGAUAAAUGUUGCAUUCAACCGUGAGGUUCUGGGGCCCGUGAUGUUCCCUGGCCUGCGGAUUCGCAAGGAAGGGAAGCACAGGUGGGACACCCUUGAAGACAUAUGGAAUGGCCUGUGUGCCAAGGUGGUCUGCGACAGCCUGGGUUACGGCGUGAAGACCGGUCUGCCUUAUGUGAUGAGAAGUGAUGCAGAGGCAGGCAAGGCCUUGGAGAGCCUCAAAGAGUGGGAAGGGGUGAAAGUGAUGGAUGAUGUCCUUCCCUUCUUUGAGUCGCUCAAGCUAUCAAGGACCGCAGUUACUGUCGAUGACUGCGUUAAGGAGCUAGCUGGCAUUGUGAAGCAGAAGCUGGCGCCAAAGAAUGCAAUCUUCGCCAAAGCUGCCGAUGUCAUGGAGGAAUGGACCAAGCUCUGGAAAUCUCAUGGAGCUCAGAACGCCUGA